rnacentral:rRNA from 1 species
AUUGAACGCUGGCGGAAUGCUUUACACAUGCAAGUCGAACGGCAGCACGGACUUCGGUCUGGUGGCGAGUGGCGAACGGCUGAGUAAUGUAUCGGAACGUGCCCAGUCGGAGGGGAUAACGUAGUGAAAAUUACGCUAAUACCGCAUACGACCUCUGGAGGAAAGCCGGGGAUCGCAAGACCUCGCGCGAUUGGAGCGGCCGGUAUCCGAUUAGGUAGUUGGGGGGGUAAAGGCCCACCAAGCCAACGAUCUGUAGCUGGUCUGAGAGGACGACCAGCCACACUGGAACUGAGACACGGUCCAGACUCCUACGGGAGGCAGCAGUGGGGAAUUUUGGACAAUGGGCGAAAGCCUGAUCCAGCCAUUCCGCGUGCAGGAUGAAGGCCCUCGGGUUGUAAACUGCUUUUGUACAGAACGAAAAGGUUUCUACUAAUACUAGGAGCUCAUGACGGUACUGUAAGAAUAAGCACCGGCUAACUACGUGCCAGCAGCCGCCGUAA